rnacentral:tRNA from 1 species
AAAUAGGUAAGCUAAUUAAGCUAAUGGGUUCAUACCCCAUCAAUAAAGGAAUCCCUUUCCUAUUUA